CAGUACCUCACUGCUCAGCGAGUGAGAUCCUCCUACACUCUCCCUCACACAUCUCCUCCUUGCCUUCAGGCCUUCCUCUUCAGGGUUGUUUUGCCAUCGCACUGCUGCUUUUUCUUGCUCAAGCUCCUACUUGGUGUACUGCCCUGUGCUCACGUGGCCUGCAGCUUCCUCCUCUGCUGGUAGCAUUCAGCGCUGUCACUCCCAGAAGGAUGAGCAGGGUUUCUGCCUCAGCUUCCUUACUUACACAGCCUCAUGGAAGAAGGAAGGAAAGGGAAAUCACUGAGCAUACAUUUAUUGAACAGGAUAGACUUUCUGAAGCUGAAGACUUUAAUUUGCUGCCGAUCAGAAAAGAGAGGAGCUGGCCAUCACAAUCUCACUGAUGGAUAUACCUGAUGGACAAUUUGGCUUUCCCAGCUGUCUCCUGAAGAGCAGAAUUAUGGAGCCCAGAAGACUAAAAUCCAAAGAACAUGUUCAUUCUCCAGCUACAGUGCACAGUGCACUACUGACAAGAGGUGGAGAUAGGAAAGAGGUGGCCUACUGUCUGCUUGGCACGUUGAGUACUGGAUAGAUCUCUUAUACUCAUGUCUCAAGGACACCAGAUCUGGGAAAGAUCAAGGCUGGCCUUAACAUCUAUAGAGAACUGCACAGAAGAUAAAAAGAGAAGCAAAAAAAAAAAAAAAAACCAAAACAAUAAUCACAAAGAAAGGGAGAGGAAUGUAAUGAAAUAUUUGUGGGAAUGGUUUAACUUCCAAUUUCAGUAAAAAUAAUUUUUCACCCAAGUAUCAAGAGAUAAUAAACCAGAAAUUAAAUUCUUAAAAAACAAACAAUCAUCUUAGUGAUUUAUAACAUUGUUCCUUGAUCAUCAGCUGGAGAGUUAAAUUAUCUAGAUGAGAUACACAGUAAUGUGGGGUUACACAUCGUUUUUUUCCAAGAUAUAUGAGCACCAUGUGUUAUAACUUCCUUGAGGACUGCAUUGUGGUUAGGCCACUUUGUUGAUUUUUUUUUGUUUUUUUUUUAUGAGAGUUGUUGUUUUCUUAUGAGGAAAGACUAAUCUCACAAAGAAAAAGCAGUUCCUUAAAAUGCACUCUGGAUUUUAUUAGGCACAGAUUAGUACUAUUUCCUCACACUGUUACUCCUACAAUAUAGCUUCUGCACCCAUUCGUAAGCAAUAGCGUGACACAUCAUUAUGAAGCUCUAUGGACUGUGUUUUUAAUACUGUGAUUACAUAAGAAAGCACAUGUAAGUAAGGACCUGGUUCUGUACCCUCUUAAGUCAGUGGUGCAAUUCUGAACCACAUAAAUAAAUCAGAUUUAUAGUUGUGAACUUGACAUUAAUUUUAUUUUUAAAAGAAUAUGUAUCGUAUGAAGGUAUAUCAAGUUUAUGUUUGAAAUAAACAUCUAAUAUAUACAAUAUUAAAGAACAGAAUAUGCUUCCCACUGCCCCUUCCCUUCCCUUCCCUUCCCUUCCCUUCCCUUCCCUUCCCUUCCCUUCCCUUCCCUUCCCUUCC
ensembl:lncRNA